UGGGGAAUAUUGGACAAUGGGCGAAAGCCUGAUCCAGCAAUGCAGCGUGUGUGAAGAAGGCCUGAGGGUUGUAAAGCACUUUCAGUAGGGAAGAUAAUGACGGUACCUACAGAAGAAGCACCGGCUAACUCCGUGCCAGCAGCCGCGGUAAUACGGAGGGUGCAAGCGUUAAUCGGAAUUACUGGGCGUAAAGCGUACGUAGGAUGUGAUGCAAGUCGGAUGUGAAAUCCCCGGGNUUAACCUGGGAACUGCAUUCGAAACUACAUUACUAGAGUGUAGUAGAGGUAAGCGGAAUUUCGGGUGUAGCGGUGAAAUGCAUAGAUAUCCGAAAGACAUCAGUGGCGAAGGCG
rnacentral:rRNA from 1 species